GGUCUUAUAGUGUAGUGGUUAUCACGUGACGUUUACAUCGUCAAGGUCCCCAGUUCGAUCCUGGGUGAGAUCA